UACGGAGGGUGCAAGCGUUGUCCGGAAUCACUGGGCGUAAAGGGCGCGUAGGCGGCCUGGUAAGUAGGGGGUGAAAUCCUGCGGCUUAACCGCAGGGCUGCCUUCUAAACUGUCAGGCUUGAGCACGGUAGAGGCAGAUGGAAUUCCCGGUGUAGCGGUGGAAUGCGUAGAGAUCGGGAUGAGCAUCAGUGGCGAAGGCGGUCUGCUGGGCCGUUGCUGACGCUGAGGCGCGACAGCGUGGGGAGCAAACAGG
rnacentral:rRNA from 1 species